GAAGGAGGGCGGCGGGCGGCCUGUGGAGUCGGCCGGUGGUGAGGAAAAUGGGAGGGGAUGUACGAUGAGGCCGUCGGCGUCAGCUCGGGCCCCGGCGGCUCGGGCGGUGGACGAAGGAGGAGAAGGAGGAUGGAACGGAUCUCGGCGGCGGCAGGAAGCGGCACGGGCGGAGGCGGCGACGGCGGAGCGACACGGGCGGCACGGGCACAGGGGCGGCGCGGGCUCGGGUGACGGAGGAGAUGGCGUCGGCG
rnacentral:lncRNA from 1 species